GGAUUCUCCGGGGUUUCCUUCAACAGCUCUUACUGUAAGAGGGUUCCUCAUGGAUUUCAUUUAGAAAUAGGUCAGUCUCAUAAAUUAUAAAACGUCAGACACAAAAAAGAGAUGAGUAAGAAAUGGUGGGGAGCUUGAGUCCCUCUGGGGAUGCCAGCGUCUCAGUGUUUGAUAGAUGCGAAUAGAAGGCAUGAUGACAUCAACAAUCAACAGGUGUCAGAUCAUCUCAUAGCUGUGAAAAACACACAACGAAACCCGACACGAGAAGGCCGGACACUACGUUAAGGUGGAGAGUUGGAGAAGCUGUGCGGAGCUGCUCUCUCCAGAUCGUGCUCCUGGGUUCCCUGGUCCACAGGCCGUAAUAUACAGCCAGGGAUGAACAUCUGCUCCUUCGGAGAAGACCAAACGCAGACCGUCUGGAUCCGAAAGUCCCUCCUGGAGAGCGGAGACAGGCCUGUGACCUCUCAGACCGUCUGGAUCUGAACGUCACUCUUGGAGACCAGAGACAGGCCUGUGACCUCUUAGACCGUCUGGAUCCGAAAGUCCCUUCUGGAGAGCGGAGACAGGCCUAUGACCUCCGGGGUCGCAGUCCAGCAUCUGGUACAUCUGAGUACUCAGGGAAGCUUCUGAUGGACUGGCAUGGAUUUGUGGACAUGGGGUGUUUUCUCACGCCUCCGUGUCUUCAUGUAGUAACAUUUUCCAGCAAGCAUUUAAAGACUGGCCCCCGUGAGCUGUAUUGUAAGAUGGAGCAUAUGGGAGAUGAAACCUCAGAGGAUUUAUCUGUCUUCUGAGGAGCUGGUGCAAUCUACCUGGGAAGAAACUGUCUACACAGGCAGAAACUGUACAGCAGUGGAAAGACAACAUACAGGUGCCUCACCAGCAAGAGUAAAGAUAAACCCAGCCCUGGGCUUUACAUGCAGAAAAAUAAUCUGGCCUCUGAGGAAAAGUGAUGAUCCCUUGUGUAAAGUAAAACAUCACAUGGCAACUGAAGAAUGCAGAAUGUGGACUAGACCUGGAAGAAUCCUGGUGCUCAUCUGUACUUUACACAUAUGAAAAUACCCAGGAUAAGAUGGGGGACGGUGAAGUGCCUUGUCCCAGGCCCUACUUCUAGCUAGGGCCAAAGCUGGGACUAAAUAAAUGUAUUCUAACCUCCAUUUUUUCAAAAUAUUGUCAAAUUUGAAAUUUUUAUGUCCAAGCCAUUUAUUAAAGUCAACAUGCUUAGUGUAAUGCAUUUAUAAGUGGCAUGAAGGAAAAUAAGACUGAUAUUGCCAACAUUCUGUUUGCCAUCCCAGACUCAAGUCUCUGUCUCCUGCUGAGUAACAUUAGCAGAGGUUGCACGGGAAAACCUCACCUGCAGCUCAGGAGGCUUCUCCAGGAUGCCCAUGUACCUGGGACUUCUCCUGCAGUGCACCACCUCCCUGGACCCUUCCUUGCAUGUCACCUACAGCUCAGGAGGCUUCUCUCGGGAGCUCAUGUCCCUGGGGCUUCUCUCACAAUGCACCUGCCUCCCUGGACCCUUCCUUGCAUGUCACCUGCAGCUCAGGAGGCUUUUCUCGGGUGCUCAUGUCCCUGGGGCUUCUCUCACAAUGCACCGGCCUCCCUGGACCUUCCCUUCCAUGUCACCUGCAGCUCAGGAGGCUUCUUUGGGUGCUCAUGUCCCUGGGGCUUCUCUCACAAUGCACCUGCCUCCCUGGACUCUUCCUUGCAUGUCACCUGCAGCUCAGGAGGCUUCUCCAGGUGCCCAUGUCCCUGGGGCUUCUCCCGCAGUGCACCUGCCUCCCUGGACCCACCUGCAGCUCAGGAGGCUUCUUCGGGUGCUCAUGUCCCUGGGGCUUCUCCCGCAGUGCACCCGCCUCCCUGGACCCUCCUGUGCAUGUCCCUGAACUUCCAGCGCAUGUGUGCAUCUGUGUCUGUCUAUGUUGCACAGGUGACAUCAUACAUGUUUCCAAGGCAGGGAACCAUCUCCUUGUCCCUAAACAUUGUGUCUGAAAGAGAGCUGUGCAUGCAGUUAGCACUCAACAAUUAGUAUCACAGAAUACACUUUUAGCAAUCUGUAGCAUCAUAUCAUCUUCUACCUGAACACAGUAGCCUGUGAUCAUUUCAAACUUGACUGUCUGUGAUUCCCUGGCAAAUACUGUAAUUUCUGAGAUGAAACAGCUGGAUGAGUUACCUGACAGGUACAAUGUACAAUACGCAGGUGACGGUCACACUAAAAGCCCAGACUUCACCACCAUGCAAUAUAUUCAUGUCACAAAACCACGCUUGUACCCCUCUAUCUAUAAAAAUAAACAAAAAUAAAAGUUUAAAAAAGGUAUUGACUUUGAAGUCCAGCCCGACUAUUUACUCACUCCUUCUUGGUCUCACUGAACAUUCCCAGGCAUGCAAGACCACCUGUGUCACAGUGAGCUGUG